UACGUAGGUGGCGAGCGUUGUCCGGAUUUACUGGGCGUAAAGAGCGCGCAGGCGGUCGUACAAGUCGCGUGUGAAAGCCCCCGGCUCAACUGGGGAGGGUCACGCGAUACUGUUCGACUCGAAGGCAGGAGAGGGAAGUGGAAUUCCCGGUGUAGUGGUGAAAUGCGUAGAUAUCGGGAGGAACACCAGUGGCGAAGGCGGCUCUCUGGGGGCCACCUGACGCUGAGGCGCGAAAGCGUGGGGAGCGAACCGG
rnacentral:rRNA from 1 species